rnacentral:rRNA from 1 species
CCUACGGGUGGCAGCAGUGAGGAAUAUUGGUCAAUGGACGAGAUUCUGAACCAGCCAAGUCGCGUGAGGGAUGACUGCCCUAUGGGUUGUAAACUUCUUUUAUCAAAGAAUAAACCGCGGCACGUGUGCCUUUUUGCAUGUACUUUAUGAAUAAGGAUCGGCUAACUCCGUGCCAGCAGCCGCGGUAAUACGGAGGAUCCGAGCGUUAUCCGGAUUUAUUGGGUUUAAAGGGUGCGUAGAUGGGUUGUUAAGUCAGUUGUGAAAGUUUGCGGCUCAACCGUAAAAGUGCAAUUGAUACUGGCAGUCUUGAGUACAGUUGAGGUAGGCGGAAUGCGUGGUGUAGCGGUGAAAUGCUUAGAUAUCACGAAGAACCCCGAUUGCGAAGGCAGCUUACCAAACUGUGACUGACAUUGAGGCUCGAAAGUGUGGGUAUCAAACAGGAUUAGAUACCCGUGUAGUC